rnacentral:lncRNA from 1 species
UUAGGAUACUCCUGAGCAGUUUAUCCGUAGUAGUUACAGGUGGUUUAAUGCCAGGGCCAGUCCCUGGCCACGCCAGCUUUGCUAACGGAGCCCCUGGGGGGUUGUUUCUGGUUUGCAGGACUGCGGGUUUUCAAGCAUUGCACUGCAAAUUCCAGCACGACGUGCGUGCCUUGCGUAGAGGGUACAUAUACAGAUCAUCCCAAUGGUUUAGAACACUGCCGGAAAUGUAAACUCUGUGAUAAAGGCACAAAGACCACUGACAAUGUGUGUGAAGCCUGUCCUCCCGGAACCUCCUCAACAGCCAACAUGUCUUACAGUUGUACCCCAUGGCCCACAUGUGAGGAGAACUGCUGGGUACAAGGAGAGGACAGGAAUCCGUCCUCACAUUCCUCUGCUGCAGUAGUUGGUUACGUUGGAGGCGUGCUGUUAGUUGUUGCAGCUGGCCUGUGCCUUGCGUUUAUCUGGCGCAGGAGGAAGAGUUACACACCACCGGUGCAGGAGUCUGGGGUGAGUAUCUCUUUGGUUUUUUCAUAGUACGUUGAAAUCUGAAGUAGGUUUUUUGUUUGGUGUCUGUAUGUGCUGUGUGCUCGAUGGGCCCAGUGCGGACUGGUGCAGCUUGGGGAUCCUGGGAGUGUCUGGGAGUUCCAGAAUCCCCAAGACUAUGCAGUAUAAACUCAUUUUUUGUGAUUCUUGUUGAGAGGCUUGGGAUCUACUCCUAAUGCCGUUGUUACCACCUGCCCUUGUCUAGGAGUUCAUGUUUAAGGGGCUUUAGGAGAUGGACUCCUACUAAAAGCCACAUCUGUCUUAGUAACUGUGUUUUUCUCUCCAUCCUACAGUAUUACGUAUCCCCUAAAGUUCCUGUUACUGGUACCUGUGCAGCCAGUGUCGUGUUUUAUAGGAAAAACAUGGCAUGAACUGUAUCAUUUGCACUUUUGAUUUGAGAGGGGCCCUAGAGUGACUCUCGCUCUUAAGGAAGAAGCAAAAGUCGAGCUGUUAGUAGUGAAAAUAGCAGGCAUUUGCUAAUAAAGGCUGACUUUUCAUACUCUGUGUUUUCCUU